UCUCUCUCUCUCUCUCCCCAAAACCCUAGAUGUAAGAAUGGCAUCAAGAGAUCUCAUCACAAGCUACUCGAAGCUCCUCUCUCGAAUGGCUGUUCGUUCCCUUCGCACCUUCGCUUAUUCCGACUCCAAUUCCGAAUCAUAUAUUCCAACUAACAAUUCGGACUCGGACUCGUGCUCCAAACAACUUCCUCACGCUGAAGGUAAGAAAAACAGAGCAUUCAAUCGAUUCCUAAAAGAAGGACCAGCAUAUCCCUGCAAAGAUGAUGAUCAACACUUGAUCAAUGAGUUCAAAUUCAAAUGGAAAUUACAUCUUCAUCUGUCAUAUCAUAUUUGGCUGACUAAUUCUUGCAUUGUUAGCCGCAAAUGAUGAUGAGGAACACUUGCGACAGCCGGCAAUGGUUUAUAAGCUUAGAGCCUGAUGCAGUUAGAGAUGUUGUGAGUAAUACCUUUUUUACUAAUGAAGCUGGUGAUGCAAUCAACGGUGAGGGCCCAGUUUCUACAUCCUCAAGGAAAUGCUAUAGCUAAUAGAGUUGCGUAUAUAGCUUCACGUUUGACCUUGGGAGUUGGGACAAAGUUUUCCGAAAGGCAAAAGAGGUUUUGAGACACAAGUCAUGUGUGAUCAAUUGAA